rnacentral:rRNA from 1 species
GACGAAGGUGGCGAGCGUUGUUCGGAAUCACUGGGCAUAAAGCGCACGUAGGCGGUGACGUAAGUCGGGUGUGAAAUCCCUCGGCCUAACCGAGGAACUGCGCCCGAUACUGCGUUACUUGAGGACCAGAGGGGUGCAUGGAAUUUCCGGUGGAGCGGUGAAAUGCGUUGAUAUCGGAAGGAACUCCGGCGGCGAAAGCGAUGCACUGGCUGGUUUCUGACGCUGAGGUGCGAAAGCCAGGGGAGCAAACGGG